rnacentral:rRNA from 1 species
AACUAUAUGAAAUUAUAUAUAGCUAAUUCUGCUCCAUGGUAUACUAAAUAGCCGCAGUACUCUGACUGUGCAAAGGUAGCAUAAUCAGUUGGCCUAUAAUUGAGGUCUCGUAUGAAUGAAUAAUUGGGUAGCAACUGUCUUAAUAUAUUUUUAUGAAUUUAGUAAGCAAGUGAAAAUACUUGCUCAUAUAAAAAAGACGAGAAGACCCUAGAAACUUGCGCGUAUUUUUGUUGGGGCGACAGGAUUACAAUAAACUAAUCUUAUUUUACUAGACGUAUAACAGAAAGAUAAAGUUACUCUAGGGAUAACAGCAUAAUUUUAAAAGUUUGUGACCUCGAUGUUGGACUAGGUACAAAACUCCUUAGAAGGGAGUUAAUAUGCUCUGUUCGAGCAAUGCUAACCUACAU